AACGCACAUUGCGCUCCUUGGUAUUCCGGGGAGCAUGCCUGUUUGAGAAUCAGUAAAAUCCUCAAAACUGCUGUGCGGUUGGAGUAACAUCUGCCGCAUGUCGGUUUUGGAUAGUUGGACCUCUUGAUCUUGCGAUCAAAGGUCUGAAAUCAAGUGUUCGGAGCCGUUUUCCCUGAGAUUGCGGGUCUCCAGAUGAAUGAACUGUGUUAACACCACGGAUUAUUCACAUCUGUAGAUGCAAUUUCUAUGUGGAAACGGAUUUUUUUCCGAUUGACAUUUGCCAAACACAUUGCUGUUUUGCAAAACAUCAGGAACGGAUGUUGCAUUCGUUUCUGAACACUUGGUCUCAAAUCAGGUAGGAAAACCCGCUGAACUUAA
rnacentral:misc_RNA from 1 species